rnacentral:rRNA from 1 species
UACAGAGGUGCCAAGCGUUAGGCGGAAUCACUGGGCUUAAAGCGCGUGUAGGUGGGUCGUUAAGUGUCCGCGUGAAAUCCCACGGCUCAACCGUGGAACUGCCGGGCAUACUGGCGAUCUUGAGGCAUUCAGGGGCGAGCGGAACAAAUGGUGGAGCGGUGAAAUGCGUAGAUAUCAUUUGGAACGCCAACGGAGAAAUCAGGUAGCUGGGGGUGUGCUGACGCUGAGACACGAAAGCCAGGGGAGCGAACGGG